AAAAAAUACGCCUGGUGAAGUGCUAACACACUGAUCCAGGUUGUAUACAACCACCUGUUUACCUUUACCUGUUGCUUCCGUGGAAUACGGGUGCUCUUCCUGUUCGCAGGCUUGAGUUACCUUCCACGGGUGUAUUUUAAAACUCGUUUUGUAUUUUUGUCUGAUUUAAAAUUUUAAUAAAAGUUA
rnacentral:misc_RNA from 1 species